CCUACGGGUGGCAGCAGUGAGGAAUAUUGGUCAAUGGACGAGAGUCUGAACCAGCCAAGUAGCGUGAAGGAUGACUGCCCUAUGGGUUGUAAACUUCUUUUAUAAAGGAAUCAAACGAGGCACGUGUGCCUUUUUGCAUUUCCUUUAUGAAUCAGGCUCGGAUAACUCCGUGCCAGCAGCCGCGUUAAUACGGAGGAGCCGAGCGUUAUCCGGAUUUAUUGGGGUUGAAGGGAGCGUAGAGGGGUUGUUAAGUCAGUUGUGAAAGUUUGCGGCUCAAACGUAAAAUUGGAAUUGAUACUGGCAGUCGUGAGUACAGUUGAGGUAGGCGGAAUUCGUGGUGUAGCGGGGAAAUGCUGA
rnacentral:rRNA from 1 species